AAUGCCAGCCAGGCGACCGCGUCGGCCACCAGGCCGCCGAGGAACGUACGGGCUCCGCAGGGCAAGGUGGUUCCUAACGGGAACCCGGCGAAAGCCGCGGGACAGUGCCACAGAGAACAGACCGCCCGCAGCACGACCGCCGGUAAGGGUGAAACGGUGGGGUAAGAGCCCACCGCGUCCUCGGUGACGGGGGCGGCACGGUAAACCCCACCCGGAGCAAGGCCGAACAGCACGCGGGCGGCCCGCCUGAUGCGUGCGGGUUGGCCGCUAGAGCCUGCCCGGCGACGGUAGGCCGAGAUGGAUGGUCGCCCCCACCCUGUCGGGGUGGGACAGAACCCGGCGUACCGGUCGGCUUCCCUC
rnacentral:RNase_P_RNA from 1 species